CCUACGGGCGGCAGCAGUGGGGAAUAUUGCACAAUGGGGGAAACCCUGAUGCAGCGACGCCGCGUGAGUGAAGAAGUAUUUCGGUAUGUAAAGCUCUAUCAGCAGGGAAGAAGAAAGACGGUACCUGACUCAGAAGCCCCGGCUAACUACGUGCCAGCAGCCGCGGUAAUACGUAGGGGGCAAGCGUUAUCCGGAUUUACUGGGUGUAAAGGGAGCGUAGACGGCUGUGCAAGUCUGAAGUGAAAGCCCAGGGCUCAACCCUGGGACUGCUUUGGAAACUGUGGAGCUAGAGUGCUGGAGAGGUAAGUGGAAUUCCUAGUGUAGCGGUGAAAUGCGUAGAUAUUAGGAGGAACACCAGUGGCGAAGGCGGCUUACUGGACAGUAACUGACGUUGAGGCUCGAAAGCGUGGGGAGCAAACAGGAUUAGAUACCCCUGUAGUC
rnacentral:rRNA from 1 species